rnacentral:tRNA from 6 species
GGAUCUUUGGCAGAGUUGGUCGAAUGCACCGGUCUUGAAAACCGGCGAGGGUUACACCUCCCAGAGUUCGAAUCUCUGAGGGUCCACCA